UUUGAGUUUCCAGAAUGUCUAUGCUGUAACUGCUUUACUUUGUUUCUUUUUUUGUCCCACCAGUAGUGAUGUCGCUUGGAGAUUUGAUUGUCAACAUCACAAAAACAGCACCAUGAAAAGCCACGAGAUACUGCAUAACGCCCAGAAUGACUGAAAGUUGGAGGACUUCUUUUCAGGAGAUACAUUUUUCACUGUUUAUCAGCCUCUGCUUUUAUGGAUCACUGGGAAUAUAAGGACAGGUUCAGCUCCCAUCAUCCUUCUCCGUUUAGCUGACGUAAUUUACAGUUGGGUGCACCAUGACCGGGUGGAGCACUAGCCUUGCUUUGGGAUGGAAGACUGAGAUAGUCUUGAGAAAUGAGCAGAUGAAGACAUUUUUGUGCAGAAAACCUACACACGGGUUGGGCUGUAGUGGUGACAUGCUGCGAAUGUGUGAAACAGCGAGCAUCUCCCAGCGUUGGCAUGCAGCACAUCAGAGAUCUGCCUGAGAGCUCACAAAGACUGCCACGCAUCGUCCCGGGUAGGGAACUACAACACGUAACUUCAUAAUGGGAGCCAUUGUGUUUCUGGCACUGGCAAAAUGAAGGCAAUAAAAUGUAAUUUAAAAAAACAAAACCAUGAGGAUGAAUCCUGGGUGUUUGUGAGAAUUUUGUAACUGAACUCCUUGUUUUUACUUGCUCAGCAAUUAAGCUUCUGCGCUGCUAAAAUAGGAAUGUUAAUAUUUUGGAAAUGCUAAAUCAGCACCAUCGCAGCUGUUCUGAAGGAUGUGUUUGGAAAGGUACCGAGCGACAUAACCGAGCCCUGUGCUGUUACAAUCGGGAAUGGCUUGUAAGGAUCCUCUGGAACCUUUUGGCAUAUCUGCC
rnacentral:lncRNA from 1 species